AUUGAACGCUGGCGGCAUGCCUUACACAUACAAGUCGAGCGGUAACAGGUCUUCGGAUGCUGACGAGUGGCGAACGGGUGAGUAAUACAUCGGAACGUGCCCGCUCGUGGGGGAUAACGAAGCGAAAGCUUUGCUAAUACCGCAUAAGAUCUACGGAUGAAAGCAGGGGACCGCAAGGCCUUGCGCGAACGGAGCGGCCGAUGGCAGAUUAGGUAGUUGGUGGGAUAAAAGCUGACCAAGCCGACGAUCUGUAGCUGGUCUGAGAGGACGACCAGCAACACUGGGACUGAGACACGGCCCAGACUCCUACGGGAGGCAGCAGUGGGGAAUUUUGGACAAUGGGCGAAAGCCUGAUCCAGCCAUGCCGCGUGCAGGAUGAAGGCCUUCGGGUUGUAAACUGCUUUUGUACGGAACGAAAAGACUUUUUCUAAUAAAGAGGGUCCAUGACGGUACCGUAAGAAUAAGCACCGGCUAACUACGUGCCAGCCGCCGCUGUAAUAC
rnacentral:rRNA from 1 species